UACGGAGGGUGCAAGCGUUAUCCGGAUUCACUGGGUUUAAAGGGUGCGUAGGUGGGCAAGUAAGUCAGUGGUGAAAUCUCCGGGCUUAACCCGGAAACUGCUAUUGAUACUAUUUGUCUUGAAUACUGUGGAGGUCAGCGGAAUAUGUCAUGUAGCGGUGAAAUGCUUAGAUAUGACAUAGAACACCAAUUGCGAAGGCAGCUGGCUACACAAAUAUUGACACUGAGGCACGAAAGCGUGGGGAUCAAACAGG
rnacentral:rRNA from 1 species